rnacentral:rRNA from 1 species
AUUGAACGCUGGCGGCAGGCCUAACACAUGCAAGUCGAGCGAGCGGCGGACGGGUGAGUAAUGUAUGGGGACUGCCCGAUAGAGGGGGAUAAAUACUGGAAACGGUAGCUAAUACCGCAUACUAUCGGAUAACCCAUAGGGGAGUAGCUAGUAGGUGAGGGAAGGGCUCACCUAGGCGACGAUCCCUAGCGGGUCUGAGAGGAUGAUCAGCAACACUGGGACUGAGACACGGACCAGACUCCUACGGAGGCAGCAGUGGGGAAUAUGGCACAAGGGGCGCAAGCCUGAUGCAGCAAUGCCGCGUGUAUGAAGAAGGCCCUAGGGUUGUAAAGUACUUUCAGUCGGGAGGCGUUACCGACAGAAGAAGCACCGGCUAACUCCGUGCCAGCAGCCGCGGUAAUAC